UACGAGGGGGGCGAGCGUUGUUCGGAAUUAUUGGGCGUAAAGGGCGCGUAGGCGGCGCUGUUAGUCAGGCGUGAAAUUCCUGGGCUCAACCUGGGGACUGCGCUUGAUACGGCAGUGCUUGAGGAUGGAAGAGGCUCGCGGAAUUCCCAGUGUAGAGGUGAAAUUCGUAGAUAUUGGGAAGAACACCGGUGGCGAAGGUGGCGAGCUGGUCCAUUACUGACGCUGAGGCGCGACAGCGUGGGGAGCAAACAGG
rnacentral:rRNA from 1 species